GCCUAUAUAAGGCAGGCGGUUGAGAGGCAAGAAGACAGAAAAAGAGAAAUGGAAUCGUCAGGGCAAUGGCUGGAGAAAGCGUUACUGGAGCUAUGUGGCAAGAUUGAGAACGGUCUUGAUUUAGAUGCUGAGAUUAUUUCUGGGCUUGUUUCUUAUUGUGAGCUUGCUCCUCCUCUAGACGCUAAAGAAUAUCUUGAUAAUAUCAUAGGUCAGGAUGCUGGAAAAAGUGUGACGGGUGAGUAUUUGAGACGGAGAGGUCAUUCAGAUUUAUACCAAGGUACUUCUGCUUCCAAAUUGCAAGCAUAUGUAAAGCCUCCUUCAGGUGAUAGUCUGGCAGCUGGAACGAAAAAACAAGUACGCGCACCAAAAGAAAGUAAAGCCUCAAGUAAGCAGGAAAUCCUGAGCACAGCUGAGACAUCAAAUGGACGAAACCUACAGAGAGGAAGUCAAGGGAACUCUACAAAAACAACUGCACCUCAAUCCCAAGCAAGUCAAAAGAACUCUACAAAAACAACUGCACCUCAAUCCCAAGCAAGUCAAAAAAACUCUAAAAAGAAAAAAUCAGAGAAAGUUAUUUCUCUUGCUGAGGCUGCAAAAGGUUCCAUAAUAUUUCAACAGGGGAAGCCAUGCUUAUGCCAAGCCCG
rnacentral:misc_RNA from 1 species